UACAUGGGGUGCAAACGUUGCUCGGAAUUAUUGGGCGUAAAGCGCACGUAGGCGGUUCGUUAAGUCGGAUGUGAAAGCCCUCGGCUCAACUGAGGAAGUGCACCCGAAACUGGCGAGCUUGAGUACGAAAGAGGAUCGCGGAAUUCCCGGUGUAGAGGUGAAAUUCGUAGAUAUCAGGAGGAACACCGAUGGCGAAGGCAGGUCUCUGGGCCGCAACUGACGCUGAGGAGCGAAAGCAUGGGGAGCGAACAGG
rnacentral:rRNA from 1 species